ACUGCAGAAAUAGGAUAGUUUAAUUUCAGUUCCCAAAUGAGCCUGUCCUAGAGUGGAAUGGUAGUGCUUCAUCUUUUAGGGGUUAGCUUAUUUCCUACCUUCGGGCAAAGAAAAUGAUUCCUGUCGCACCACGAGGUGCUGUCUACGAGUCGGGUUGUUUGGGAAUGCAGCCCAAAUCGGGCGGUGAAUUUCGUCCAAGGCUAAAUACGGGCGAGAGACUGAUAGCGAACAAGUACUGCGAGGGAAAGAUGAAAAGGACUUUGAAAAAAGAGUCAAUGAGUGCUUGAAAUUGUCGGGAGAAAAGUAGAUGGGGGCCGGCGAUGCGCCCUGGUCGGAUGUGGAACGGCGACGCGUCGAAGAUCUUCCAGGCAUUCCUCUCGAAAGGGAAAUAGACUUUGGUAUAGACCUUCUCUCAGAUACUCAGCCUAUUUCAAUUCUGCCAUACAGAAUGGAACCACCAGAACUCAAGGAGCUAAAAUAUCAGUUUAAGGAUCUCUUAGAUAAGGGAUUCAUCAGGCCCAGCAUAUCCCUAUGGGG
rnacentral:ncRNA from 1 species